rnacentral:tRNA from 2 species
GCCGGUGUAGCUCAGUUGGCUAGAGCACGUGAUUUGUAAUCUCGGGGUCGUGGGUUCGACUCCCUCCACCGGCUCAA